AUUGAACGCUGGCGGCAGGCCUAACACAUGCAAGUCGAGCGAGCGGCGGACGGGUGAGUAAUGUCUGGGAAACUGCCUGAUGGAGGGGGCUAACUAAUGGAAACGGUAGCUAAUACCGCAUACCAUCAUAUGUGCCCAGCUGGGAUUAGCUAGUAGGUGGGGUAACGGCUCACCUAGGCGACUAUCCCUAGCUGGUCUGAGAGGAUGACCAGCCACACUGGAACUGAGACACGGUCCAGACUCCUACGGGAGGCAGCAGUGGGGAAUAUUGCACAAUGGGCGAAAGCCUGAUGCAGCCAUGCCGCGUGUAUGAAGAAGGCCUUCGGGUUGUAAAGUACUGUCAGCGGGGAGGCGUUACCCGCAGAAGAAGCACCGGCUAACUCCGUGCCAGCAGCCGCGGUAAGAC
rnacentral:rRNA from 1 species